rnacentral:rRNA from 1 species
GACGAACGCUGGCGGCGUGCUUAACACAUGCAAGUCGAACGAAGUGGCGAACGGGUGAGUAACGCGUAAUCAACCUGCCCUUCAGAGGGGGACAACAGUUGGAAACGACUGCUAAUACCGCAUACUGAAGGAGGGGAUUGCGUCUGAUUAGCUAGUUGGAGGGGUAACGGCCCACCAAGGCGAUGAUCAGUAGCCGGGCUGAGAGGAUGCACGGCCACAUAUGGACGGCGUGACGGCCCAGGCUCCUACGGGAGGCAGCAGUGGGGAAUCCUCCGCAAUGGAGUAAAGUCUGACGGAGCAACGCCGCGUGAGUGAUGACGGCCUUCGGGUUGUAAAGCUCUGUUAAGCGGGACGCGGUAGCGGAAUAGAAAGCCACGGCUAACUACGUGCCAGCAGCCGCGGUAAUUC